ACGCUGGAGAUCAGUGAGUCUGUGAACUAUUAGAACUUCGCAACAUGCAAAGUGGGCCAAAAAUAGGUGAAUAGAAAAAUUACCGCCAAAACCAUUUCGAACGAUUUGUGACAAUUCGAAACGGAAAAUGAGUGACGGCGUGUUUCCGUCUCUGUAAUGGACGCCAACAUCGUUGAGAUUUUUCCCCAAUUCCCCUUCUCAAUAAACGGAAACGCGCUGUUUUGUGCGAUGUGAUUGACAUUGAUGGCGAUGGCGAUGAUUUAGUGAUAAUAGGUGAAAAAGUCAGUAACAUUAAGAUUAAGCUGUUAUUUGUCAUUUCUGCAAUGGAUUAAUAUUAUACAUUAUGCUCAGGAUAUAUCUGACAUUCAUGACGAUGAUGACUCUGAUGAUUUAGUGCUAAUUGAUGAAAAAGUAAGUAAAAGUAACAUGAGGAACACAAUUGAAGCCAUUAAUCAAGUUGUAGUUUGUAUAACAUUAAGAUUGAUAUUUGAUUUGUCAUCUCUCGCAGUAGAUUGGUAUUAUCUUUUCUAACUUCUAAACGUCUUUUACAUUUUGCUUUGAAUUCUUUUUGGAAUGUAUCUGGAUAUAUUUUUUUUCACCCUGGCGUUGAAUAUGAUCAAGGUUUGAAGAAUAGUACUUACAAAAACAGUCACAGUAAGGGGUGGUUUGAAUCUUUCAUUAGGAGUAGAAUCAUCUUAUUCUGAGAGGUUGUCGAAAUAUUUCCGCUGUAAAAUGAAGCAUGCUAGUUUGGAUGGCAAUCUAGAGGUCAUGAACCAUUUUCCCCCAAAUCUAAAACUGCCAAGAAGACAGGUGGUUGUAGCAGUUCAUACCUUGCAAAUUUCAAAGAUGAAAUUGUGAGGAAAUUUGGAAGUUUUAAGCAAUUCAACAUUAUCAGUGACACUUCAGACCGUUUAUUUAUUCACAAAGAUUCCUCCUUGAAGGAGAUUCAAUAUUUGUUCGAGCUUAUGAAUCAAGGAUGGAUCUCAUGAGGGCUGUAAUUAUUGGAGCCGAAGGGACUCCAAAUGUGGGACCAGGUGGCUCUAUAUGCCUGAGUCUACUUAACACUUGGAAGGGCGACAAGAAUGAGUGUUGGCUUCCACGCUUUUCAACAAUUCUACAGGUUUUGGUCUCCAUACAAGGUCUAGUCUUGACUGCCAAUCCUUUCUCUAAUGCACCUGGGAAUGGUGGCUUUUGGCGUAGUUUGAAUCCUGACGUUAUAAUGAGGAGGUGUUCAAUGAUUCACUAUGGACAAUGAUUACAUAUGAUUAGGAGGCCUCCAAAGGGUUGUUUUUAGGCUUGGUUGAAUUUUCUAGUAUCUCUAGAAAGUUUGCUUUGCCAUGUUCAUUUGUAGCGUGGGGGAAAUUUUUCUUUAGGAAGAUGACAAAAAAAAUACUAUAUAAUAUAGGAAACAAUGUUAGGAAUCUAGACCUAGCAUAUUACACAUAUCAUAUAUACAGUCUUUCAUUUGUCAGUAGCUGAUAUCUUGCCAUUGAACAUUGUCCACUUACUUGAGCUUAUUAAUCAAGACGUUUCAAAGGUUUGAUUAAACAUUACUUCUUGAUUUUGAUAGUAUAGUUUGUUUAUGCCUUGUCAAGUUUAAUGUGGACUAAGACCUUAUCUUGAUUUCUCAAUGCAAUAGACAACAUUCACCAUAUCUUUUCACCUCCAUUUACUCUCACAGUAUCACAACUAAACAUCCGUUUCUUCAAAGUCCUUCCUCAUUCACUUGAAAAUUAGAAAAAAGAAAAAAACUGAACCCUAUCACCUUGUGUGCAUCUAGAAGCAUAACGGUACAAAAGAACGGUAGAGUCUACUUUUUGAUGGACAUGUAAGUUGGUUGUAAAAUGUUAUGUGUGGAUUGUCGUUCGAGAAAAAUUGAGCAUGUAGAAAUUGUGCCAUUGUUAUAUUUUCAUUGAAUUAGAUGUUGAUAUUAUAUUUGAAAGUAGCCUUUGAUGUUGAGUUGUGGCAUAUCUUUGUCCAUGUGAGCUUUAAUCUGGAUUAGUCUUUCUCGGUACCCUCUAGCAUGUGUGU